rnacentral:rRNA from 1 species
GAUGAACGCUGGCGGCGUGCCUAAUACAUGCAAGUCGAGCGAACGGACGAGAAGCUUGCUUCUCUGACGUUAGCGGCGGACGGGUGAGUAACACGUGGAUAACCUACCUAUAAGACUGGGAUAACUUCGAGAAACCGGAGCUAAUACCGGAUAAUAUUUCGAACAGCAUGGGUCAAAAGUGAACGACGGUCUUGCUGUCACUUAUAGAUGGAUCCGCGCUUCAUUAGCUAGUUGGUAAGGUAACGGCUUACCAAGGCAACGAUGCAUAGCCGACCUGAGAGGGUGAUCGGCCACACUGGAACUGAGACACGGUCCAGACUCCUACGGGAGGCAGCAGUAGGGAAUCUUCCGCAAUGGGCGAAAGCCUGACGCAGCAACGCCGCGUGAGUGAUGAAGGUCUUCGGGUCGUAAAGCUCUGUUAUUAGGGAAGAACAUAUGUGUAAGUAUCUGGGCACAUCUUGACGGUACCGAAUCAGAAAGCCACGGCUAACUACGUG